AAUACAAUAUAUUCAUAUAUUUUGCAUCAAGUAUUAUCUAUCAAAAAGAAAAAUAUUUAACGUCAAAGUUGAAUAAUAAAGACUUCAAAAAUCAAAUAUGAACAAUUAAUUUGGGACGGAGGUAGUAUAUACUUAAGAGACCAUUUCUCACCACCUCAUCUAUCAACCAUCUUUAUCCUUCCUCCACCAUCAUCCAUCACCAACAUCUUUAUCAUCUCAUCAUUCACCUCCAUCCACUGCCAUCUUUAUCAUCCCACUAUCUUAACCUCUAUCUGUCUACACUAACAUGUUCCAUCACUACCAUCUCCAUCGUCACCUCUAUUCACCACAACCACCAUCUUCAUCCCCUUUAUCAAUCACCUCCAACCACCACUAUCUUCGUCAUCCUUUCACCAUCACAUCCAUCCACCACGAUCAUUCAUCUAAAAAGAAAACCAAACAAAAUCAAAACAUAAUGCAAACCAAGCAUAGGUUCUAGCGUUGUGGAGAUCCGAACUGAAACUUGGUAGGGAAAUCAAAAUUUUGAAUCAAAUUUGAAACAAAAUCAAAACUUGAUCGGGAAACUAGAUCGAAACAAAAGAGUAAAUCAAAGUUUUAAGUAAAUUACAUAAAUGGUCAGUGGGGUUUUAAAAAAAAAGUAACAACUCAAAAGUUAAAUUUGAUGCAUGAAAGACCAACAAUAUAGUUUUUUGAAACCAUAAGGUCAUAUUUGAAGUGUUUUUGAAAGAUAUCAUCAACAUGUCAGCUUUUGGAAAGGACAUUGACCAUUUCUAAAAUUUUGACAUAUUUUUAUUUUAAUUAUCAAAUGAAAUAACCACCAUUACACACCGGUUACCACCACUGUCACCAAUACCAACCACCACUAUAUCGCCACUCAUCAUGGUUAUCAUCACUACUAACCACCAUCGUAACUAUAAUUAUCACCAAUAACCAUCGGCCACCAUCAAUACCAUCAUCAACGACACCACUAAUACCAUAAUCACCGCCAUCGUUGAUAUCAUCACUGCCACCAAUUUAGAAUUUGU
rnacentral:lncRNA from 1 species